rnacentral:rRNA from 1 species
CCUACGGGAGGCAGCAGUGAGGAAUAUUGGUCAAUGGACGAGAGUCUGAACCAGCCAAGUAGCGUGAAGGAUGACUGCCCUAUGGGUUGUAAACUUCUUUUAUAUGGGAAUAAAAUGUUCCACGUGUGGGAUUUUGUAUGUACCAUAUGAAUAAGGAUCGGCUAAAUCCGUGCCAGCAGCCGCGGUAAUACGGAGGAUCCGAGCGUUAUCCGGAUGUAUUGGGUUUAAAGGGAGCGUAGGUGGAUUGUUAAGUGAGUUGUGAAAGUUUGCGGCUCAACCGUAAAAGUGCAGUUGAAACUGGCAGUCUUGAGUACAGGAGAGGUGGGCGGAAUUCGUGGUGUAGCGGUGAAAUGCUUAGAUAUCACGAAGAACUCCGAUUGCGAAGGCAGCUCACUGGACUGCAACUGACACUGAGGCUCGAAAGUGUGGGUAUCAAACAGGAUUAGAUACCCCAGUAGUC